GACGAACCGUGCGAACGUUAUUCGGAUUCACUGGGCUUAAAGGGCGCGUAGGCGGGCAAGCAUGUCUGGGGUGAAAUCUUUCGGCCCAACCGGAAAAGGGCCUCGGAAACGGCUUGUCUGGAGGAAGGAAGGGGUGUGUGGAACUUCCGGUGGAGCGGUGAAAUGCGUAGAGAUCGGAAGGAACGCCGGUGGCGAAAGCGACGCACUGGACCUUUUCUGACGCUGAGGCGCGAAAGCCAGGGGAGCAAACGGG
rnacentral:rRNA from 1 species